CUGUGAAUAUGCUCGCUGUUCUGAUUUCAAAAUAAUCAUUACAAGCUAAAUAUCUGCUAUAAUAAGACCAUACAUGUGUCCCCAGACCUAGUUCUUUACCUACCUAAAUCUGGUCUUAGAAAUGCUUGUGAUAACU
ensembl:snoRNA SNORA72 Small nucleolar RNA SNORA72